ACAGCCUGUCUAUGAUUAGACUCCGUGUGCUUGUGCCAUCUCACCAUCACAGUUUAUUUUAGAAGCUCUCUAAUCGCACCGUUUGUUACAAAUUUGAAAUGAAAUUAUGUGUGAGCUUCUUGUUACUACUGGUCUUCGUUGGCUUCGUGUCAAGCGGUCACCUCAGUGGGCCCCCAAAAGUAUAUCAAACAUGCAACAGUGACAGUGACUGUGGGUCAAACAAAAAAGUAUGCAAAAUAAAAAGAACUGGAACCCAUCAGAAAUACUGCUUAAAACGAGGAUAGACUAGAUCUAAGUAACAUACCAAGCUUCAAUUCAUACAUACAGAUGAAUAUCAACAGAAAUGUUAAAUAAAAAAUACAUUUGAUGCAUUGAGAAUAUUCAAUCUUUUAUUUACUUCACAAUCGUCUCCAACUUCUUUCUUUAUGCAAUACGGUUGCAUGUCUCGGUCUCUCUCACUUAAAAUUCAAAAUUUCGUUUGUCAAGG